rnacentral:sRNA from 1 species
UAAACUGAGCUUCACCGUCUGUAGUGGC